AAAAAAAAGACCAAAUCCUUAAAAUCUCCAAUAUUAAUCAACCGCAUUGGGAUGAAGCAAUGUUUCUUGCUAACAUGUGGGCAACGAAGAGAUACUGAUAUGCUCUGUGUUUUCAAAUUGAAGACAUAAAGACAAGGAUCAUUUACGAGGUAGAUGGAUUCUCGUUCAGUAUUAGUGUUCCUUGUGGAGCAAGUUGUUUCCCAGAAAUUACCAAGAAAAAUUGCAGUAUCGCCAAUACUUUUCACUUUCACCCACAUUUUUUUUUACAAAAUCAAACCGAAACACAAGAAAACCAAAUACCUCAUUCAGCUCCCUUCCAUGAAGUGAACAUAUAACAACAUAUCAUUAUCGUCACAUGAUGAUUAAAUGAGGUAUUGUCCAAGGCAUGGUAUGUCUAAUAAUCCUGUGUGAUUAUACGCAGGUUGAUCAAUCAUUGGUGUAACUGUUACUACUCAUGAGUCAUCAUUUAGAUCCAAAAUCACUAAAAUUUCACGAUGGGAUGUUAAUCUGUAAAUUUUUCCCUUGAAGACUGUUAGGAGUAAAAAUUGUUGCUAUCUCCAUUAAUUGGUUGCUAAUCUUGUCUAUGAAAGUCUUGAUUAUAACAUGGCUUGCAGGAGUAAACACGUGUGCAUGACUUCAAAUCUAUUAGGAAGACAAUGCGAUAUUCAGGAUCAUGGGGUGGUGCGGACAAGAGGCACUUUAGCUUGUCAUACUGAUCAAUAUCUUGGAGUGGUGGGAGCUGAAUUUUUUCCUCCAAAUAUGGAUUCCAAAGGUAAAAAUCAUCAGAAUUUACUAGCCACUCAUGUGCAUACACAUAUUCUUUUGUUCCGAAGUUCAGAUAUAAUCCUCACAUAAUACCGUUGCUCUGAUAUACUGAAAAACGUUUGCUUUUGCAUCUCUUCUCCAUGACAAAUAACAAGCCAAAGGCUUGAUUGUGUAGAAAAAGGGGGUUAACCAUAUUUUGACUUUUCGUUUUUGUACUUUUCCAACUUCAUCUGUUUUUUUUUUUCUGCAAAAGAGAAGAUAAUAAUGAGUGUUAUAAGACAAUCAUUUAAUAUUAGCAAGACUUUUAAUGUUACAAAUUUUAACAAACUCAAAUGGUUUCAUUGCACAUGUUAACAGUUGCUUAAGUGGAAUAUUUCUCAAAAAAAGACGAAAGGGUAAACCCAAAUCCAAUAUAAACACGAAUGAAAGCUACAAAUGGUUUUAGUUCAUAGUAUUCAAAAUUUAGAUGAAUUAUUUUACUUGAAUAGUGCCAAAAGUAACCCUUAUAUGGUCGAAAUCGGGCUCGUCUGUUGCAUGACAGAUCUGGAUUAAAACAUAAUGGAUUAAAGAUCGACCCCGGGUUCCAUCGAACCAGGGUACGAGGUUAGGACUCCCGUCUUCGAGAUCAUCGAGUCCAAGACCCCGGAAUCGACCCCGACUCCGAAUGAGCUCGAGGAAA
rnacentral:lncRNA from 1 species